rnacentral:misc_RNA from 1 species
CACAAAUGGAAUGAUCAAGAUCAAAUACUGUUUUUUGAUUGUGCCAAUUGAAGAUUCAUAAACAUGACACCCAGUAAUUUUUGUGAAAAAAAUCAUCCAUCUUAACAUAGAAAUAAAGAGGGUAUCAUAAGAUUUCGAGUCUUGAUUUUGUGCAAGUUUACUUUGGUAUUAAACUGCAAUUUGUGGGUAUGAUGGAAUUUGGAAUGAGUUCUUCUGUUCAUUGAUCAUUGUAAUAAUGUAUGAGGUAUUUAGUUAUAGGAGUGAUAGCAAUACAUCUCAUGCUUGCACUAAAGACUAUUGAGGUUUCUCUCAAUUGUCUUAGCUGGCUUGUGUUGAUAUGAUAUGGGAAUGAGGUUGCUUAAGGAGUCAGCUCUGAGAUCAUCUUCUUGUUAGCUUGAUUAUUGAUUGAGAUUUGUGUGAAUUAUGUCACUUUAUUUCUUGUUGCUUCUUUUAAAUGACGUUGAACAAUUAAAAGAUAAUGAUACAAGUAUGUCUUUGUUGACUUGUGCUUCUUCAAAAAUUGAGACACAGAGCUUUCUUCUUGCAGAAAAUGGGUUUCUGGACUCUCAUGGAAGGUCUUCUGCUUUUUGCAAAUGGAUUAGCAAUAUUGAAUGAAGACAGGUUCCUUGCUCCAAGGGGAUUGACGCUGGCAGAUCUCCAGCGGGGGAAAAGAGAUACAAUCAAGGGGCAGAUCAUUGGACUCAUACAUGCUUGCCAGUUUAUGAGACUACCACUUAUAAUUCUAAACAUCACCAUUAUCAUUGUGAAGCUACUCUCCGGGUGAGGUUGAGCACGACAGUUGCUCAUUGCGUGGCAUAUGCAUACACUGAAAUUUUCCACAACUGAUGACUACUUUUGGAGUUUGUGAAUAAUUACCAUAGUGUUGGGGCCCAAAAUAAAAUUCCACAGCCCUUGUUUAAAUUGGUAAUCUCCAGAGCUAUGUAAUUUUCCCAUCACCACAUGAAUUUGUUUCUCUACUGAUCUUGUUUUUAGUAUUAUCUCCAAAGUUAAAAUUAAUUAUGAAACACAAUUGUAUUACCCAUCAAAAUUCACUUGAAAGGUAUAAAGAUUAUUGCAGGAAACACAGUCGUGAUUCGUGUGUCUGUUCAGAGAUACAUGUAAGCAAGCUUAUCAUACUCAUGAAAUAUAUGGAAUUGAAACUGUGGCCAAAGCCAAUACAAAUUUCAAACCUUCUAACUAG